UCCUCCCGCUGCUGCCCGGCGUGGGGCCUGUCCUAGUUUGUCUUCUGCAGGCAAGCAUGGGAGAGCUGGUGAAUUCUGAAGAACACUUGGGACAUGGAAGAGCAUUUCAUAUGGAGGAGGAAAGACAAAAAGGGUCACUUGCUUUUUUCUCCAAGGGCUUUAUUGAAGAGCAGAAAUUAUAGUCUGAUGGAAAAUGAG